rnacentral:rRNA from 1 species
CCUACGGGUGGCUGCAGUGGGGAAUAUUGGACAAUGGGGGGAACCCUGAUCCAGCGACGCCGCGUGAGUGAAGAAGUAUUUCGGUAUGUAAAGCUCUAUCAGCAGGGAAGAAAGAAAUGACGGUACCGGACUAAGAAGCAGCGGCUAACGACGGGCCAGCAGCCGCGGUAAUACGUAGGGGGCAAGCGUUAUCCGGAUUUACUGGGUGUAAAGGGAGCGUAGACGGCGAGGCUAGUCUGAAGUGAAAGGCGGGGGCCCAACCCCUGGACUGCUUUGGAAACGGUCUGGCUGGAGUGCAGGAGAGGUAAGUGGAAUUCCUAGUGUAGCGGUGAAAUGCGUAGAUAUUAGGCGGAACCCCAGUGGCGAAGGCGGCUUACUGGACUGUAACUGACGUUGAGGCUCGAAAGCGUGGGGAGCAAACAGGAUUAGAUACCCCAGUAGUC